AUGAGCUCACUAAACUACUCAACCCCUGCUAAAGAAGAAGAAGAGGUCUACUGGACGGAGAAAGAACCUCUGGCGCUGAACAUUGUCGUGAAAGAAGAAGAUAAUAUUACAGUGAAAGGAGAGAAAGAACCUCUGGCGCUAAACAUUGUCGUGAAAGAGGAGAAUAUUACAGUGAAAGGAGAGAAAGACCCUUUCAGAAUGAAAAUUGAGGAAGAGGAGGUUGUUAUAGGAAAAGAAGAGAAAGAACAUUUUCGAGAGGAUGAGGAUGCUAUCUCAAUGAAGGUGAAGAAGGAAGACGUUUUGGGAGUGAAAGAGGAAGAGCAUUUUGGACUGAAAGAGGAAGAGAAGGCUAUCUCAGUAAAAGAGAAGGAAAACGUUUUGGGAGUGAAAAAGGAGGAGACUGAAGAUCCGAUUACCACCAGUGAGUACUAUCUUAAAAACAGGGGCACAAACUAUGCAGUUGUUGAACUAAUGUGGGGUUUUAAGGGGCAUUCUACUGAAGUUCUACACUUGAAUAUGUUGUUCAGUACUGUAUAAAUUGUUUAAGGGACAAUCUGCCAUUGGUACAUAUUUUUGUGGGACUUUUCAAUUAGAUGUAUUGAAUUCUCCAUGUGGUGUAUAUUAAAGUGCACUAAAUCUAAUAUAACAGACUUUUAAAAUGUAAUAUUGGAGCAUAAUUUACACUUAAAAUAUCAAAGGGAUGCAAAAGGCACCCAUUUAGUGGAACGACCCUUUUACAUUCACAACCCAAACAAUAUUUGAUAAAAUCAUGAUGAAUGUGGCAAUUUUUAGACAUAUUCAUGCCUCUUGUAAGACCCUAUGAUUGCAAUAGAUGGUCAUAAGUUUAUCAUCUGUUUGAUCUUGUCAUUCACACAGGAGAGAGACAUGACUAUCGUGGAUCCUCUGUGGAGCCUCAACAACAUCCUGAUGCUGACGAGGCAGAGAAGAGUCUCUCCAGAUCAGAACACCAGAUGGUACAGCUUGGUCUGGUCUAGCAUACAGCUUGCUCUAUCUGGGUCUGGGUUUCUGUAAAGCACUUUAUGACAACAGUGGCAUCAGCAUCCAUAAUGAUAUGUGUCCCCUCUUUAUGGUUAACAGGACAACGCUAGCCGGCCCCCUUCCACCCUCCCAGAGUCCCCGUGUCGUGCCUCUCCCGGUAGCACCUUACUGCUGGGUAUGAAGAGGUUGUCUGUGCUGCUGGUGGACUGCAGGAAAUCAAUGGGGCUGAGUGGAACUGUGAGAGGAGGAGAAAUGAAAAGAUCAGAUUUGACUCAUCAAAGUAAGUGCUGUAAUUUAGUUUGAACAAAUAAAAUAGAUCUGCCCACUGCUAUCUGUUCCCAUUAGGGCUGUCCCCGACUACUACAAAUACAGCUUUGCACACUGUUGGCGUUCUCUCAACCAGCUUCAUCUGGAAUGCUUUUCCAACAGUCUUGAAGGAGGUCUGAGCACUGCUGAGCACUUGUUGGCUGCUUUUCCUUCACUCUGCAGUCCAACUCAUCCCAAACCAUCUCAAUUGGUUUGUGGUCUGGUGAUUGUGGAGGCCAGGUCAUCUAAUGCAGCACUCCAUCACUCUCCUUCUUGGUCAAAUAGGCCUUACACAGCCAGGAGGUGUGUUUGGUCAUUGUUCUGUUGAAAAACAAACGAUAGUCCCACUAAGCGCAAACCAGAUGGGAUAGCGUAUCGCUGCAGAAUGCUGUGGUAGCCAUGCUGGUUAACCUUAUCCAAUGGUAGAGCGUGUCGUGAAAUACAAAUACCUCAAAAAUGCUAUAACUUCAAUUUCUCAAACAUAUGACUAUUUUACACCAUUUUAAAGACAAGACUCUCGUUAAUCUAACCACAUUGUCCGAUUUCAAAAAGGCUUUACAGCAAAAGCAAAACAUUAGAUUAUGUCAGGAGAGUACCCUGCCAAAAAUAAUCACACAGCCAUUUUCAAAGCAAGCAUAUAUGUCACAAAAACCAAAACCACAGCUAAAUGCAGCACUAACCUUUGAUGAUCUUCAUCAGAUGACACUCCUAGGACAUUAUGUUAUACAAUACAUGCAUGUUUUGUUCAAUCAAGUUCAUAUUUAUAUCAAAAACCAGCUUUUUACACUAGCAUGUGACGUUCAGAACUAGCAUACCCACCGCAAACUUCCGGUGAAUUUACUAAAUUACUCAUGAUAAACGUUCACAAAAAAACAUAACAUUUAUUUUAAGAAUUAUAGGUACAGAACUCCUUUAUGCAAUCGCGGUGUCAGAUUUUAAAAUAGCUUUUCGGCGAAAGCACAUUUUGAAAUGUUCUGAGUACAUAGCCCGGCCAUCACAGGCUAGCUAAUUUGACACCCACCAAGUUUGGGACAACCUAAACUCAGAAUUACUAUUACUAGAAAAAAUUGAUUACCUUUGCUGUUCUUCGUCAGAAUGCACUCCCAGGACUUCUACUUCAACAACAAAUGCUGUUUUGGUUCCAAAUAAUCCAUAGUUAUAAUCAAAUAGCUCUGUUUUGUUUGUGCGUUCAGGUCACUAUCUGAAGGGUGACGCGCGAGCGCAUUUCGUGACAAAAAAUGUCAAAAUAUUCCAUUACCGUACUUUGAAGCAUGUCAAACGCUGUUUAAAAUAAAUUUUUAUGCCGUUUUUCUCGUAAAAUAGCGAUAAUAUUCCAACCGGGCGACGUUGUAUUCAUUCAAAGGUUGAAAGAAAAAAAAUUGACAAUUCUCAUGAAUGCGCCUCUGUCUCACUGUUCCCAGGCUGACCACUAACAAAUUCUCCUGCUGUUCUUCGCCCAGAGACAUUCCACUUUCUGGCGCCUUCUGAGAGCCAAUGGAAGCCUUAGAAAAUGUCACGUUACAGCACAGAUGCUGUAUUUUCGAUAGAGAUGCUACAGAAGGACAAUAAAUUGUCAGACAGGGCACUUCCUGUAUGGAAUCUUGUCAGGUUUUGGCCUGCCAUAUGAGUUCUGUUAUACUCACAGACACCAUUCAAACAGUUUUAGAAACUUUAGUGUUUUCUAUCCAAAUCUACAAAUUAUAUGCAUAUUCUAGUUUCCGGGCAGGAGUAGUAACCAGAUUAAAUCGGGUACGUUUUUUUAUCCGGCCGUGAAAAUACUGCCCCCUAUCCAUAACAAGUUAAAUCAUCCCCGUUUGGCGAAGUCGGCUGUCUUUUUUAGGAAGAAAUAGUCUUCACAGUUCGCAACAAGCCAGGCGGCCCAAACUGCUGCAUAUACCCUGACUCUGUUUGCAAGAGAAGUGACACAUUUUCCCUAGUUAAAAUAAAUUAAUGUUAGCAGGCAAUAUUAACUAAAUAUGCAGGUUUAAAAAUAUGUACUUGUGUAUUGAUUUUAACCUGUUUGGGAUAGGGGGCAGUAUUUUCACGUCUGGAUAAAAAACGUACCCGAUUUAAUCUGGUUACCACUCCUACCCAGUAACUAGAAUAUGCAUAUACUUAUUACAUAUGGAUAGAAAACACCCUAAAGUUUCUAAAACUGUUUGAAUGGCGUCUGUGAGUAUAACAGAACUCAUUUGGCAGGCAAAAACCUGAGAAGGUUUCAUGCAGGAAGUGGCCUGUCUGACAAGGUGUUGUUCUUGCGUCUGUUUAUUGAAGAGUCAGGAUCUUAGCUGUAACGUGACAUUUCCCACGGCUCCAAUAGGCUCUCAGAGCCCGGGAAAAACCUGAACGAUGACGAGGCAGCCUCAGGCUGAAACACAUAAUCGCCUUUGCCAAGUGGCCCAUCAGAGGACAAUGGAAUUAGGCGCGUGCCCGAUUCAACCCAGUGAUAUAUUUUCCUUCGGCUGUUUAUCUAAUUGCAGAUUCCCGGUCGGAAUAUUAUCGCUUUUUUACGAGAAAAAUGGCAUAAAAAUUGAUUUUAAACAGCGGUUGACAUGCUUCGAAGUACGGUAAUGAAAUUUUUAGAAAUCUUUUGUCACGAAAUGCGCCGUGCGCACGACCGUUAUUUACCAUUGGGAUAGUGUCUGGGACGCACGAACAAAACGUCGCUGUUGGAACAUAACUAUGGAUUAUUUUGGACCAAACCUACAUUUGUUAUUGAAGUAGAAGUCCUGGGAGUGCAUUCUGACGAAGAACAGGAAAGGUAAGACCAUUUUUCUUAUAGUAAAUCUGAUAUUGGUGAGUGCUAAACCUGCUGGGUGUCUAAAUAGCUAGCCCUGUGAUGCCGGGCUAUGUACUUAGAAUAUUGCAAAAUGUGCUUUCACCGAAAAGCUAUUUUAAAAUCGGACAUAUCGAGUGCAUAGAGUAAUGUAUCUAUAAUUCUUAAAAUAAUUGUUAUGCUUUUUGUGAACGUUUAUCGUGAGUAAUUUAGUAAAUUGUUAGUAAAUUCGCCGGAAGUAUGCUAGUUCUGAACGUCACAUGCUAAUGUAAAAAGCUGUUUUUUGAUAUAAAUAUGAACUUGAUUGAACAAAACAUGCAUGUAUUGUAUAACAUAAUGUCCUAGGUGUGUCAUCUGAUGAAGAUCAUCAAAGGUUAGUGCUGCAUUUAGCUGUCUUCUGGGUUUUUGUGACAUUAUAUGCUAGCUUGAAAAAUGGGUGUCUGAUUAUUUCUGGCUUGGUACUCUGCUGACAUAAUCUAAUGUUUUGCUUUCGUUGUAAAGCCUUUUUGAAAUCGGACAGUGUGGUUAGAUUAACGAGAGUUUUGUCUUUAAAUAGCUGUAAAAUUGUCAUAUGUUUGAGAAAUUGAAGUAAUAGGAUUUUUAAGGUAUUUGAAAAUCGCGCCACAGGCUUCAACUGGCUGUUACGUAGGUGGGACGAAUUCGUCCCGCCUAGCCCAUAGAGGUUAAGACAUUGAUGUUUAUGGUUAGGUACACGUCGGAGCAAAGACAGUCCUUUUUUCGCGAAUGCGCACCACAUCGAUUAUAUGCAAAGCAGGACAGGCUAGAUUAACUAGUAAUAUCAUCAACCAUGUGUAGUUAACUAGUGUUUAUGAUUGAUUGAUUGUUUUUUUAUAAGAUAAGUUUAAUGCUAGCUAGCAACUUACCUUGGCAACGUAAAGCAGGUGGUUAGAGCGUUGGGCUAGUUAACGUAAGGUUGCAUCCCCAAGCUGACAAGGUAAAAAUCUGUCGUUCUGCCCCUGAACAAGGCAGUUAACCCGCCGUUCCUAGGCCGUCAUUGAAAAUAAGAAUGUGUUCUUUAACCUCUCUAGGAUAGGUGGCGCCAAAUCGUCCCACCUACGUAACAGCCAGUGUAAUCCCGUGGCGCGUUAUUCAAAAACCUAAAAAAUGCAAA
rnacentral:lncRNA from 8 species